rnacentral:rRNA from 1 species
AUUAUUUUAAGAUUAUUUUUUAUUGUUGAAAAAAUUAAAAAUAAAUUGUUUUUAACAAAAAUUAAAAUUUAUAAUAUUUCAUUUUUUGGUUUUUUGUUUUAAAUUAAAAUAAUAAAUAUGGGGGAAAAAAAAAUUUUGUUAUAAAUUAUAUUAGUUUAUUUUAAUUAAAAAUAUUUUUUAUUAAAUUUGUUUUUUUUAUUUUUUUAUAAAAAAUAUUAAUUUAAUUAUUAUUAUUGAGUUUAAUUUAGUUAUUUUUAAAAAAAUUUUGUAUAAAAUAAAUUUGAUAAUAAAUGUUUUUUAAAUUCUUUGGGGGUUUAGUUUUUGAUUUUUUGUUUCUGCUCAUUGUUAAAUAAAAGCACUUUUAGCGUGAUUGGUCAAAGGUA